AGUGAACGCUGGCGGUAGGCCUAACACAUGCAAGUCGAACGGCAGCACAGUAAGAGCUUGCUCUUACGGGUGGCGAGUGGCGGACGGGUGAGGAAUACAUCGGAAUCUACUUUUUCGUGGGGGAUAACGUAGGGAAACUUACGCUAAUACCGCAUACGGCCUACGGGUGAAAGCAGGGGAUCUUCGGACCUUGCGCGAUUGAAUGAGCCGAUGUCGGAUUAGCUAGUUGGCGGGGUAAAGGCCCACCAAGGCGACGAUCCGUAGCUGGUCUGAGAGGAUGAUCAGCCACACUGGAACUGAGACACGGUCCAGACUCCUACGGGAGGCAGCAGUGGGGAAUAUUGGACAAUGGGCGCAAGCCUGAUCCAGCCAUACCGCGUGGGUGAAGAAGGCCUUCGGGUUGUAAAGCCCUUUUGGUGGGAAAGAAAAGCAGCAGGUUAAUACCCCGCUGUUCUGACGGUACCCAAAGAAUAAGCACCGGCUAACUUCGUG
rnacentral:rRNA from 1 species